UUAAUAGAUUUAUGGGUAAAGUGAUAAGAAUGAUGUUUGAUUCCUGUUUUCAAAUUGUUGAGAUUUGGGGUUGUGUAUGCAGGAGGUCUUAUCCUGUGCAGGAGUGCAAGCUCAAAUUUGUUAUUGUUCGGAAAAUUUGAGGUAUUAUUUAUCCCGACGAUUAGGACACUUGUACAGUAGGCAUAAAUGCUAAUGCUAAAUAUUCAAAUCUAAAGUUGCAGGUCACAUCUCAAUUAUGUUGACCUCGAUAGGUUUCUAUACAGUGUUUUGACGAAAAAUGAUGAACUGACUACAGUAGCAACUGUAAGGUUGCAGGCUACUUCGGUUCGGUUUAAACCACGGCCUUCGCUUUAUUUUUGUGUUCUGGUUUGCCUUUUAUACUUGGUCCAUGGAGCAUUUAACACUAUUGGUUAGCGCCGUUACUGUCCAAUUUUGUUUAUACCAUAUGAAUUCUGAGGAGAUAUGAAGCUCAGGAAGCAGAUGACCAGCCAUAGUAUUGGUCAACAUGAUAGACUUAUAGUUAAGCAAAUAAUAAAGUUCAGUUAGAUAGAAACCAAUAUAAUAAAGUUCAUGUUAGAUAGAAACCAAUAUAAUAAAGUUCAUGUUAGAUAGAAACCAAUAUAAUAAAGUUCACUUUCCUACCCAAAUAUGUUUCUCUUGUGGCUCUAUAGUCAAAUUACUCAAGGCUGCACACAUAGAGAAAGUUUGCCAAAGAUAUGAGAUAUGGGCUGUCUUUGACAGUUGAAAGCGCAGAAUGCAUCAAAAUAGGACAGGGGCCAGAAAGGAAAGAGCCUUUCUUUUGCUUAUUACUAACUAAAUAUGCUACUGGUAGAUGCCGAACAAAGAAAAUUGGAGUAUAAAUAAAUAAAAUUUCACUAAUAAAGAAUCUAGGAUAUUAAACAUAGAGUUUUCUUAGGCUGAAGAGACCAGUGCUCCUUUGGUAAAAUCCGGUUCAAUUAUUUAUGGAUUUGCAGACAUGCUGUCUUUAAUCAAAGGCACAUCUUGAGGAAUUAACUUUUGGUUGUAUCUGAUAUCUCUUCCGGGUAAUGUAGUUAAUUAUGGCAUUACUUAACGAUUUAUCAAUUGAAUAGAAAAUUUCACAUGGGUUCAGGUAGGUUUUUUGGUCUGAGUUCAUGGAAAUGGAGAUCCAUGUGAGCUAAAUGAUUGGUUUUGAUUGGUAGAAACCAGUAUUUUAAUAUGCUUUUCUUAGUCGAUGCAGAUAUGGUUCGCUUUUCCCCUUUUGUUCUUUCUUGGCCUUAAACUUUCACCUUAGAUUUGUUUUCCUCGUGAGAAUUCACUUUCACUUAUGGCUAUGGAUACUCUGAGUACAUUGAUACCGACACUAAGAAAGGGAAAUAUUUGAUAGUUAAGUAAACUGGAAAAGUAUAGUUGAGGUUAAUUAGUUUGUUUUAUGUUCCUUCUAAUUCAAUAAGGUUGUUUCUUGCCAUUUCAAAGCAUAGUGGAUUACUCAAAUCUCAUUAACUUUGUCAAAUGUGGGAUCACAAUUUUUGGCAUCCUCCAGAAUGAUUCCUAAGAAGGUUCAUUAUACAAGCAACACACUCGCACGCUUUAAGGAAGAAAGCAAGAAAGUAAAUGAGGUCAUUCUAUCUACUACUAGGCAAACAUUUAUCAGAAUUAUGCAGGGUUGAAUACCCAUGGUUUGUUAAAUACUGUUUGUGGUUGCUAGCUGAAGUUGUUGUUAUAGCUGCAGAUAUUCCUGAAGGCAAGACUUUCUAUCCUUCUAACUAAUUAUUAAUUAAACAUACCUUUGUAAAAAUGUAAAAGUGUUUUGUGGAUGUUUUGUAAAUGUUGAAGUACUUUAAUAUUGUAGACUAGGUCAAUGUUUUGUGGAUGUUUGUAAAGGUUGGAGUAGUUUAAUGUCUUUUGUGAAUGUUUUAAUGA